ensembl:lncRNA
UAUAAUUCUACUUUCCUUUUAAUUCUGUUAUUUUAACUUCCCUUUUUUAGGUUAUUACUUAUAAUAAAGGAGAAAGGAUGACAACAGUAGGAAGAGGCAAUUCCUGUAAGGAGAAAGCCAAAGCCAGUAUGAGAAAAUGCAUAUAUGUUUUUCAUUAUUUUCUUUACAGUUAUUUUAUCUUCAUUUAAUAAAAUAAAAAAGUCAUUCAGUGUUAUUUUAUAACAAAUUACCUUUCAAAUGUGUAUUUUUUUUCCUAACCCCCUUCAUAGACAGUUCUUUGGGUACUCUACUUUGACGACAGUGAGAAGAAAAAUCUUCUUAAUGAAAGCGGUCCAACCACUAGUGACACAGCGGCCUCUCCCACGUACUCCAUCACCUCCACAGCUGGAAAGUGGAAGUCCAGCAGAAGGAACACUUUCUACAAGCCAAUGUCCUCCCUGGCAACCAUCAAAGGACAUGACGUGUGGAUGGCCUCUGAUUCAUGGAGGGAGAUCGCCGGUAAACGUCGGAUUGCCGGUCGAGGGAAACAAAGUUGUUGUGGAGGAAAAUACGGGACAAAUGUGUCCUUGAUGAAAAGCAGCAGUGUCGAUGCACAGGGCAAUAAAGUCUAUGAUAAAUAAAUAAACCAACACACAAAGACGUGACUCUCUAGGUCGUCUUCAACAAAACACGUUACUCCACCGGUUGUUCUGGAGGUGAAUUGAUCUGCAGCACACGCAAGACUUUUAGAACCAUGAAUUGUAUGAGUGCGUCGACACAACGAUGCGUAAAUACGCAGACGGAGAAGUGCGAAUGGUGCUAGACUGAAUGCGUUGUCCGAUAAAUCUGAGGAUUUCUUUUUCCGCAAACUUAACAAAAGUCUUUUUGUUUCUGAGACUUCAAUAUUUAAUGAAAACAUUUUGAAGUCACAAACUACAACUCAAAAGUUUUCAAUUAUUAUUAUUUUAGACUGCAUAUUACAGAUACUGUCAGAGAGAAUCAUCGUGCGGCCACAGAUGAUGCAAUUCUUAAACACUCCAUUCGCCGGUUCAACAUGGCAGCAGAACGGGUUCCUCCCGGAGGCGUGCUGCUAAUCAAUAAUCAUAAAGAUGUAUAUAAAUGGUGUAUAAUUGUACACAUUUUAUUAAAAAAAGGCUUGAUUAUAGUUUCAUUUCCUUUCCUUAUGUAUUAUUCAAUGGUAUUUCUGGGGUUGUUUUUAAGAAAUUGAUGCUUUGCUUUGGAUCCAUAUUUGGCCAAAUGAACCGCUUUAUAAACGUGUCCAAUCAAAUACAGGCGGGGCUUCUUUAUCUUUGACAUCAAAUACGGAUUUGAGCCGGCCACGGACCGCAU